UACGUAGGGCGCAAGCGUUGUCCGGAAUUAUUGGGCGUAAAGAGCUCGUAGGCGGUUUGUCGCGUCUGUCGUGAAAGCCCACGGCUUAACCGUGGGUCUGCGGUGGAUACGGGCAGACUAGAGGCAGGUAGGGGAGAAUGGAAUUCCCGGUGUAGCGGUGAAAUGCGCAGAUAUCGGGAGGAACACCGGUGGCGAAGGCGGUUCUCUGGGCAUUAACUGACGCUGAGGAGCGAAAGCAUGGGGAGCGAACAGG
rnacentral:rRNA from 1 species